AAGGUACAUAGCACAUUAAAUCCAAAAGAUGGAUUACAUUGUUCAUGAAUACCAUUUUUCCUAAAUAAUACAACCAUUUCUAUGUUUAUGGCAUAUAUGAGACAUUCAUCCAUGACAUGGACAAAAUACUGCUCUGUAAUGUAUUUUUAUUGUUACUGAAAUUCAGAAUUUUAAUGGACAUGCAGAUAUGGGAGCAGAUAAGGAGAGCUGAGGUGAAAGUUGCCGUAGCAAUGGUUCAACACAAUGUUUCAUUUGCUGUGGCAGACCAUUUCAGCCCCUUGUACAGGGAAUGCUUCAAAGACUCUCCCACAGCUCAAAAUUUCAAGAGUGCCAGAACAAAAACUAUGUGCAUCAUUAAUCAAGCAGUUGCACCACAUUAUAGAAAUGAGCUGGUGUUGAAGAUGAGGGAAAAUCCCUUUACACUGGUCACGGAUGGCUCAAAUGACACAGGACUAGAGAAAAUGAACCCCCUAACUGUAAGGCUAUUUGAUACCACCAAAGUUGUGCACAGAUUCCUUGCCUUGGAUACUGGUUUAAGGGCAGCACAAACCGUAAAGGUUACUUGAAAGAAUUUUGUGAACUCCAUGGCAGUGAUUAUAUGGAAAUGCUGCUGUACAUUUCUGUGAGGUGGCUGAGUUUGGAGAUGUGCAUCACUCGCAUUCUCUGCAGCGGUAUGGCCCACUCACCAGCUACUUCAAAUCUUUAAAUGAGAAACAACCAAGGUUCAGGAGGCUGGUGGAGGAGUUUUCCAAUCCCCUGACGGAAGUCUACCUCCUGUUCCUUCAGGCCACAUUCCCAGUGUUCUCUACACUGAACCUCCUUCUCCAAAGAGAAAAGGCAUCCAUAUUCCAGCUGUAUGAAGAGGAAAAUGGGAGGGUUGGGCUAUUUUAUGCUAUUUUGAUGUCUCCUUUCUUAAGUGCAACACCCCUGUGAAAUAUAGGUUGGUAAGAUAAGAUAGCCCCAGGAGCCAACAGUCUUUAUGUUGAGGAGUUUUGGGGAAGAAUGUCCACAACAAAGAACAAGGUGACUGGCUUGAACCAAUUUGGGAGGCUAUCAAAGAUCGCAGCCUUAGUGCUUCCACAUUCUAAUGCUGAUGCUGAGAGGGUAUUUUCGAUGGUUGGUUUGAACAAAACCUCAACACGAAACAGUUUGUCUCUGGACGGGACAUUGUCCACAAUCAUGACGCUGAAAAUGGCUGGGCUUGAGCCGAACUGUUUCAAGUGGGAGCCAACACCACAAAUGAUAAAGGAGUCCAAAAAGGCAACAAACACUUACAACAAACAACAACACCACUCAUAAUCCCUCUCUCUCUCUCUCUCUCCCUCUCUCUCUCUCUCACAAACACUCACACUCAAA